UCGUGAUCUGCCCACCUCGGCCUCCCAAAGUGCUGGGAUUACAGGCGUAAGCCACCACGCCCAGCCCUGUAUAACCAUUUUAGUGGGUAUAUAGUGGUAUCUUGUUGUGGUUUAAAUUUGCAUUUUCCUAAUGACUAAUGAUGUUGAGCACUUUUCAUGUGCUUCUUAGCAUAUAACUUCUGGAAGUUUUAUAGUUUUGGUUCUAUUGUAAGUUAAUUUUUCAAUGGUGUGGGGUAAAGGUCUACGUUCAUUUUUAAAUUUUUAUUUAUUUUGUUUUAUUUUGUAGAGAUGUGGUCUCACUAUGUUGCUCAGGCUAAUCUCAAACUCCUGGCCUCAAGUGAUCCUCUCGUCUCAGCCUCUCAAACUGCUGGGAUUACAGUCUCAGCCAGGAAUGUGCUUGCUGCAACCACAAUGGCAACCCCAGACUAAGAGAGAUGUAUAUCAUCCCCUCCCACCCUUUGCUGAGAUCGUCACUUCCUCUGACUGUGCUACUGUGCAUGGACAUUACCCACUGUUCCCAAGUGAGUGAGACCACUUUGACUAUGGCAGCAAAGCUGCCAACCUCACAGCCAACCCAGCCUUAGCAGAACUUUCACGCUAAGGGAGCUGGAAUCUGGGAGAGGCCCCAGGGAAGAACACUGCAGACUCCCACUCUUCUUGCACAAAGUUCAGCAAUUUUUCAGGCAUGACCACUUCUCAGAUCAUUGUACAAUUGUUUUUGUCAAUUUUGUCCAUCUUUAUAGUUACUUUUCUGGAAGAGGAUUUGUCUUCCAUCUUCACUGGAAGUCCUGCCUCUACUACAGUGUUGUUUUUAAAAUAGAUUUCUUUUUCCAGAUUAAGGACAUUUCCUUUUAAUUCUAAUUCUCUUAGAAGUUUUUCAUUUAAAUAAUAAUAAUUAUUAUUAUUGAGACUAAGUUUUGCCCUUGUUGGCCAGGCUGGAGUGCUAUGGCAUGGUCUCGACUCACUGCAACCUCUGCCUCCCGGGUUUAAGUGAUUCUCCCGCAUCAGCCUCCUGAGUAGCUGGUAUUACAGGCACCCAUCACCAUGCCUGGCUAAUUUUUUGUAUUUUUAGUAGAGACAGGGUUUCACCACGUUGGCCAGGCUAGUCUCGAACUUCUGACCUCAGGUGAUCCGUCCACCUCGGCUUCCCAAAGUGCUGGGAUUACAGGUGUGAGCCACUGUGCCCGGCCUUAAUUAUUAUUAUUUUUUGAGACAGGGUCUCACUCUGUCACCCAGGCUGGAGUGCAAUGGCACGAUCUUGGCUCACUGCAACCUUCACCUCCCAGGUUCAAGUGAUUAUUGUGCCUCAGCCUCCCGAGUAGCUGGGACUGCAGGCUUGUGCCACCACACCCAGAUAAUUUUUGUAUUUUUAGUAGAGACAGGGUUUCACCAUGUUGGCCAGGCUGGUCUUGAACUCCUAACCUCAAGGUGAUCCGCCCACCUUGGCCUCCCAAAAUACUGGGAUUACAGGCAUGAGCCACCGUGCCCGGCCUGUUUUGUUUUAAAUAAUGAGUGUUUGUCUCUUCUUUAUGUCACGAAAUGAUUAUAUUUUCCCUUUAAUCUGUAAAAUAUUUUGCUAGAUUUUCCGAUGUUGAACCCUUCUUCAUGCAUUCCUCAUAAAAUUCUACUUAGUCAUAACACAUUACUUUUUAUUUUUAUUUAUUUAUUUCUUGAGACAGGGUCUUGCUCUGUCACCCAGGCUGGAGUGCAGUGGCACAAUUUCGGCUCACUGCAACCUCCACCUCCCAGGCUGAAGCGAUCCUUCCACCUCAGCCUCCCAAGUAGCUGGGACUAGAGGUGUGCGCCACAACAGCUGGCUAAUUUUAAAAAGUGUUUUGUAGAGAGGUCUCACUAUGUUGCCCAGGCUGGUCUUGAACUCCUGGGCUCAAGAGAUCCACCUACCUCAGGCUUCCAAACUGUUGGGAUUAUAGGCAUGAGCCACCGUGCCUGGCAUAUUAUUUUUAUUAGAGAUGAGGUCUGCUAAAAUUUGGUUUGUUACUGUUUUUUUUUUUUUUUAUUAGAGUUGGGGUCUUGCUAUGUUGCAAUGGCUGGUCUCAAAUUCCUGGGCUUAGGAGAUCCUCCUGCCUCAGCCUCCAGUUAGCUGGGACUACAGGCACGCACCACUGCAUCCGGCUUGUUAUUUUAUUUAGAAGUUUUGCAUGCAUGUUAAUAAGUGAGAUUGGUCUAAAACAUUAUUUUUUAACACAGUUUUGUGAAUUUGAUAUUAAGUUUGUAUUAGCUCGUAAUAUGGGCUGAGUAAAUUUCCCACUCUUUCUGUUUUCUGAAAUAUGUUAUUUCAGAAUUAUUUAAUAUGGAGAGAUUAUCUUUCCUUUGAAGGUUUGGUAAGACUUUUUAGUAAAACUGUGUGGGCUUCAUAUUUCUUAUCGUGAGAGAUACUUGAUUAUCAGUUCCUAUUUUGGUAAUCUGUAUUUUUCUUGAAAUCUUUCCAUCGUGUCUUGGUUUUCAAAUGUCCUGGGACAAGGUUGUUCACAGUGUUCUCAUAUGUUAUUAAAAAUCUCUACUGUUA